rnacentral:rRNA from 1 species
GAACGCUAGCGGCAGGCUUAAUACAUGCAAGUCGAACGGUCAGCUUCGGCUGAUAGUGGCGCACGGGUGAGUAACACGUACACAACAUGCCCUAUAUUGGGGGAUAGCAUUGGGAAACUGGUGGUAAUACCCCAUAGUAUGCCUGGGAGGCAUCUUUUGGACAUUAAAGAUUUAUUGAUAUAGGAUUGGUGUGCGUUUCAUUAGCUAGUUGGUAGGGUAAUGGCCUACCAAGGCGACGAUGAUUAGCUGGCGUGAGAGCGCGACCAGCCACACUGGAACUGAGACACGGUCCAGACUCCUACGGGAGGCAGCAGUAGGGAAUAUUGGACAAUGGGGGGAACCCUGAUCCAGCCAUGCCGCGUGGAGGAAGACUGCCCUCUGGGUUGUAAACUCCUUUUGUACAGGAAGAAACCUCCUCAUUGAUGAGUGAGCUGACGGUACUGUAAGAAUAAGCACCGGCUAACUCCGUGCCAGCAGCCGCGGUAAUACGUAGGGUGCGAGCGUUAAUCGGAAUUACUGGGCGUAAAGGGUGCGCAGGCGGUUUUGUAAGUCAGAUGUGAAAUCCCCGGGCUUAACCUGGGAAUGGCGUUUGAAACUGCAAGGCUAGAGUGUAGCAGAGGGGAGUGGAAUUCCGCGUGUAGCAGUGAAAUGCGUAGAUAUGCGGAGGAACACCGAUGGCGAAGGCAGCUCCCUGGGCUAACACUGACGCUCAUGCACGAAAGCGUGGGGAGCAAACAGGAUUAGAUACCCUGGUAGUCCACGCUGUAAACGAUGAU